rnacentral:rRNA from 1 species
UACAGAGGUCCCAAGCGUUGUUCGGAUUUACUGGGCGUAAAGCGCACGUAGGCGGAUCGUUAAGUCAGGGGUGAAAUCCUGGAGCUCAACUCCAGAACUGCCUUCGAUACUGGAGAGCUCGAGUCCGGGAGAGGUGAGUGGAACUGCGAGUGUAGAGGUGAAAUUCGUAGAUAUUCGCAAGAACACCAGUGGCGAAGGCGGCUCACUGGCCCGGUACUGACGCUGAGGUGCGAAAGCUAGGGGAGCGAACGGG